GGAUCUGUAAAAAGAAACGUGGAAGGAUGAACGUGAAGUUGAACGUUUCACGCGAUACACACAGAUAUUUGUACAUUGACAUUCAUCCAGUAUUGGUAUAAAAGACAGAAAUAAGCGGAAAGUUUUUAUUUUGAUACAGAACUCACCCACAUCUUGAGGCUCCGGGAAAGCCUCAGGUUCUGGAGGUGGAGUGCGAGACACUGAAACAUAUCAUUUGUGAUGAUAGGCGAGUAAUUAAGAGUUAGAACAAAAAUAGAACUUGAAUGUGUUAUGAGACACAGAUCUUGCAAUAAAGAAUAAGUAAUAAUGUUUUACUUACAUGACCUGUUAGGUUGAAAAAUAUCGCGAUAUUCAGUGACAUUGGGAAUAUCUGCAUACGUUGCUUCAUCUUCAGGGUCAGUUCCAGACUUGUCUGCUUCUUCUAUGGUGGCCUUUCCCUAGAAAAACUUUUCCGUAACGAAUUCCCGUGACUAAAUGGAGAACCGGAUGUCGUUGAGACUCCUCCUAAUGGAGCGAUUUUCUUUAAGUCACACACAUACA